GAUGAACGCUGGCGGCGUGCCUAAUACAUGCAAGUCGAGCGAACAGACGAGGAGCUUGCUCCUCUGACGUUAGCGGCGGACGGGUGAGUAACACGUGGAUAACCUACCUAUAAGACUGGGAUAACUUCGGGAAACCGGAGCUAAUACCGGAUAAUAUAUUGAACCGCAUGGUUCAAUAGUGAAAGACGGUUUUGCUGUCACUUAUAGAUGGAUCCGCGCCGCAUAGCUAGUUGGUAAGGUAACGGCUUACCAAGGCAACGAUGCGUAGCCGACCUGAGAGGGUGAUCGGCCACACUGGAACUGAGACACGGUCCAGACUCCUACGGGAGGCAGCAGUAGGGAAUCUUCGGCAAUGGGCGCAAGCUUGACGGAGCAACGCCGCGUGAGUGAUGAAGGUCUUCGGAUCGUAAAACUCUGUUAUUAGGGAAGAACAAAUGUGUAAGUAACUAUGCACGUCUUGACGGUACCUAAUCAGAAAGCAACGGCUAACUACGUG
rnacentral:rRNA from 1 species